CACCUUAGCCAAAAAUUCAUUUACGAAUGUUUCAAUUAGAGAUGUUCAUGCACAGGUGUUUCAAUCAUGGACAGAAUAAAUGAAUCAAAAAAUUAAUUGAGCAGUUUAAAAGUUAAAACAGUAAAGAGGCAAACCAAAUCAUUCAGUCGAUACUCCCAGUCUCAUUCUCUGCAGUGCCGAAACCCCAAAUCGCAUUACUCUCUGCCUGCCCAAUUGCGUCUGCACCUCCGGCCUCUCUGCAUCUCUGCCUCCGUUCCACUGACUAUUGGUACGUCAAUUGUUUUGGUUGUUUGUUCUUCAUUCCGCGAAUUAAGGCUAGGGUUUGAACAUGUCUAUGGGCAAUUUAAAAAUAGGCAUGAACGGUGGUCCUCAUCGCUCUUCACACACCAUUUUACGUGCUCGAAUUGUUCAGACUCACGAUGAACUUGGAAUUGUCAGUCCACGGAGGCUUCUAAGGAUCAGAGGUGAAGUAGGAACCAAAUUUGCAGACGUGUAUGUGUUAUUUUCUAUCUAUUUCUCUACAGUGUUUUAAUUUAUAUAGGUUUAGGUUGUACGUUGUAAUGCAGCUUCUUUGAGGUUACAAGUCGUCUUUUUGUAAUGUUUAUUAGGUACUAUGUUUCACCAUCAGGCAAGAAACUUCGAUCUAUGAUUGAAAUUCAAAGGUAAUAUUCUCCGCUACUUGUUAAUUUGAAUAUUGCAGUUAGUUCCUACUUUUUCUAAUCUGUAGUUCUUUCCUUUUUUUCUUUUAUAUAUUUCAAAUUAUAUGAAAUUAUAAAUUAACUUUUUAGUCUAUGUAUUUCAUAUCGAAAAAGAAGUGCACUUCUGGCUGUACCCAUGGUUAGCACAAAAAAUUUAGCUUUUCUUUUGGCCGGGCAAUUUUCUCUUAAGGAC
rnacentral:lncRNA from 1 species